UACGUAGGUGGCGAGCGUUGUCCGGAAUUACUGGGUGUAAAGCGCGUGUAGGUGGCCUGCCAAGUCUGAUGUGAAAUCGCCCGGCUCAACUGGGCGGGGUCGUUGGAAACUGGCAAGCUGGAGGACGGUAGAGGUCGGUGGAAUUCCCGGUGUAGUGGUGAAAUGCGUAGAGAUCGGGAGGAACACCCGUGGCGAAGGCGGGUCUCUGGGCCGAUACUGACGCUGAGGCACGAAAGCGUGGGGAGCAAACAGG
rnacentral:rRNA from 1 species